rnacentral:rRNA from 1 species
UACAGAGGAUGCAAGCGUUAUCCGGAAUGAUUGGGCGUAAAGCGUCCGCAGGUGGUUUUGUAAGUCUGCUGUUAAAGCGUGUGGCUCAACCACAUAAGGGCAGUGGAAACUAUGAGACAGAGUAUGUUAGGGGUAGAGGGAAUUCCCAGUGUAGCGGUGAAAUGCGUAGAGAUUGGGAAGAACACCGGUGGCGAAAGCGCUCUGCUAGGCCGCAACUGACACUGAGGGACGAAAGCUAGGGGAGCGAAUGGG